GACGAACGCUGGCGGCGUGCUUAACACAUGCAAGUCGAACGGAAAGGCCCUGCUUUUGUGGGGUGCUCGAGUGGCGAACGGGUGAGUAACACGUGAGUAACCUGCCCUUGACUUUGGGAUAACUUCAGGAAACUGGGGCUAAUACCGGAUAGGAGCUCCUGCUGCAUGGUGGGGGUUGGAAAGUUUCGGCGGUUGGGGAUGGACUCGCGGCUUAUCAGCUUGUUGGUGGGGUAGUGGCUUACCAAGGCUUUGACGGGUAGCCGGCCUGAGAGGGUGACCGGCCACAUUGGGCCUGGGAUACGGCCCAGACUCCUACGGGAGGCAGCAGUGGGGAAUAUGGCACAAUGGGCGGAAGCCUGAUGCAGCAACGCCGCGUGCGGGAUGACGGCCUUCGGGUUGUAAACCGCUUUCGCCUGUGACGAAGCGUGAGUGACGGUAAUGGGUAAAGAAGCACCGGCUAACUACGUG
rnacentral:rRNA from 1 species